CAGCUCUGCGGUGUUCUCGGCUGUAGUAGGGCGAACUUGCCAGCAAACUCGCCAUCUCUUUCCCUAGGUUCAAACUCCCGAUGAGGUUCUGCAGCGCUGAUAUCAACCUCACCAGAGGCAUUCGCCGCCUCUCUUCCCCUGCAGUUUACUGCCGUUGCUUCACCUGUGGAACUUCGCCAGAAACGCCGGAAAAGAGAAUAGCCGCUGCAUCUUGGAGACCCUCACCCAUAGUCGCAGUCCCAUGUUUGCCGGUUUUAGUUCCUCCAUUUUAUUCUGGAUCCAACUUUGUGUCAGCAUCAUUUGUUGUAUGGAUUUCAAGCAUAAAUAGCAGAAACUGAUUGGCGUGUAUGAUCAUUGGCCAAUUCUGCUGCCUGGUGAUCACUCGCUUGCCGUCACCUGAAGGACCUAACCUGAGGUUUCACAUGCUUCAUGAACUUUUACUCAAAUGAUCAAAGAAUUGCGGGAGCUAAUGUGGAUAUACAUUUCAUUUCAAAAACUUAGAGGGUGGCUUGCUGUUUGAUGUUAUGAUUAUGAAGCUGCAAUUCACCAAUUUAUCCCUUCUCAGGAGGUAAUUCUUUUGCUUUGACCUGAAGCAGUAGUGAUAGUGAUUACAGGAGGAUAGCAUGGUUUUCUAAUCAGUUAUCCCUUCAAUAUGACUAUUUUAUGUAGAUCAGCAACAUUAUGUCACAUUGCAGGUUUGUGUGUGAUGCAGCUUUCACGUGUUUGGAGCCUUUAGCCUUGCCUGGUCAUGCACGUUUCUUACAGUGUCAGUCCCGCAUUCAUUUCUUGAAGAAGAUGAUGAUUCUGUGAAUAGUUGGUCUUGGUCAUGUCUGUCAAUGGAUGAAGCACGCAGCUCUGUUUGCUUUGGGGUAUUGCUAUCCACCUGCCAUCGGAAGAUGGUGCUGGAGUGUUUGAUGGAGCUAGAAAAGAACAUGCAAGUCAAGUGACUGAUUUUUGUAGCAGAGAUGUUCACGAGGCUAGAAGGAACAACCUUAGUUGAGGCAUUUCUACAUAAAUAUGAAGGUAAAUGAUUAGCUCCCGAUGCCUUAUAUGUAGAUUUUAGAUGCGGAUCAUCCUGAAAACAAAUUCCAAGUGGUCCCUUAGACUUCAGUAGCAUGGUUCUCAGAUACUCAUAUUUAACAACUAUGGUUGCACAUGCAUGACCAUUUUACCGGCUAUUGUAAAUAUAUGAAGAUUAGUUUUAGGGCUUUGACAUGCUUAUCUUAAGUAUCAUGAAUCUCCAGCACAACUUUGGAGGUUUCUGCAGUUCGGUGAUUUAUUUGUGAUGAAUAUAAUACUCCCUCCGGGUCAAAAUAAUUGCUUCUGCACGUCCAAGUGUUGUUUGUGGUGGUACCUAUGUGCUAAAUAAGCCAGAUGGUCAGUUCAGAUCUCCGAGUUUCUUCUUGGAUGCCCUAUUUCACGAUGUUGAAGGGAGAAUGCAUUUGGUUUAUAUUCCAGGUGUCAUCAGCUAUACCAAGCAGCUAGACAAUAUGUAUCCUCCAAACUUGGUUUCUUUCUUUGCAAUGGAACAGGGUGCUUUCCUCUUACUAUUCUGAAAAGCCAUAACUCUGCAUUUAAGAAGUGAUUGUCUUCACGGGCGUAUAGAUGAGUUAGAAUGAUGACUAGCACUCGUAUGUUGAAUAUAGCACUCCCCUUUAUCAGGUGCUUUAGUACAGACUAUUGAUAUAAGAGAAAAGGCAAGUUCUGUGUUUUUUUGUACCCUUUGUGGGUGACAUGACUAACUAUUGUACUCUCUCUGUCUCAAAAAAAAGUUGCUCAACUUUGUGUAGAUACGGAGGUAUAUAGGCAUGUUUUAGUUAUAGAUACAUCUCUAUCUACAAAAAGUUGAGCACUUCUUCUAUUUUGUCACUUCUCUUAGAAAAAAUAUAAAAAUUUAGAAAUUCUGCAGUCUUGAUUUCAAGAUUUGAAGUUAACUAGCUGUCUUGAAGUGAUUCAUCUAAUUUGAACCUUUUUUGCGGGGCAUAUAAUUGGAACCUAAAUUUUGUGUAAAAACUGAAUUUUAUAAAAAAAAAUGCUUAUCUUAGCAGUCCCCUUUGUUUGUAUUAAGAUUUUGAUUCAUAUAAUCGGAACAUAUGAAAAGUUCCACAAUUUUGAGGUGAAUUAGCUAUCGAUAUGCUUUUUGUGAGAACUAUGUCCAUGUGCUCAAGAUGAUAGGAUAUGAAUUUGCUCUAUAAUUUAAGGUUAUAUGUUUUAAAUUCUUUUGGGAGAAGAUGCUACAGCAAUCAUACAAUUCAGGUUUGGAAAGAUUAGGAAUGAAAAUAGAAGGGGCCAUACACAUACAAGAUCAUUCAAAGCUGUGCUGAAUGAAGUCGUAAUUGGAAAGACAUUGAACUGAAAUCAUGUUCUUGUUUAGUUAUGCCAUAGAUUUGUUUGGUCUGAUUGUAGAUGAUGCCCUUUAACUUGGUACUACCUAUUUAGAAGUGUUCACGGGAAGUUUCUUCCCUGCACGCUAUAAGAUUAAAAAAUGAUCAAUUAGUUUACUUGUUUCUUGCUGUCAUUUUAAUUGAGGUGAUGCUUAAAUAAUCUUGGAUUUUUACGAUGGAUAAUGGUUUAUCUACAAAUCUAAUAGUUUGAUAGGCCUCUGCCCAUUAUGAUGAUAGGUUGCCUCAAACGAUUGAAAUUUACAUCAAAUGAGGCAUACAGGAGGCCGUUGGAUGGGUUCCAAUGGUUCAAGUUGUCCUGGCUGCAUUAGGUUUCAUUGUGUUUGGAGGAGGUAGUGUUGAUCCCGGUUCUGGGGAAUUGAUUUGGGCAACUUUUGAAGUUUGGUUCUCAUAUAUUGGUCCUGAAAGAUAUUUUUGUGCAAGUGGCCAAUUGAUGUUACGCUUAUUUGAAAGCCAAGCCUGCAAGUACCCAGUUUUUCAGUGUGCCUGCAACCCAGUUCGACAACAACAAGAGCACAUGGUAUUUGCUCUGUCAGUAUAUCACAAUUUAAUUAUGUUUAUAGGUGUGCUUGCACUGCAAUAAUCAGAGCCGGAAUUAGUGAGUGGGGCUUUCAACAUGAUUCUUUGUUGCAUCUAGCUCCACAAACCACCUUUAUUCAGCUGUGGAACCCUGAGCAAGGUGCAGUUCCCCUCCAAGUUACCCUCCAAGUGUGCAGCGUGUGAUCCACCAUGUUGAGCAAUGCUGCAUUUACUCUGAGCAAUUUUUUUUUUGUAAAAUUAGAGCUUAAAUAAGCUAGCCAGUGGCAGCUAAAUGCCCAGAUAGGUUGAGAUGUUGAUGGAGCUGAUAGGCUUUAUUACUUCAUGGAUUAAUGAUUGCUGGUAUCACUAGGAUAGUAGUUAAUGAAUCUUGAAA